rnacentral:rRNA from 1 species
GAUGAACGCUGGCGGCGUGCCUAAUACAUGCAAGUCGAGCGAACGGACGAGAAGCUUGCUUCUCUGAUGUUAGCGGCGGACAGGUGAGUAACACGUGGAUAACCUACCUAUAAGACUGGGAUAACUUCGGGAAACCGGAGCUAAUACCGGAUAAUAUUUUGAACCGCAUGGUUCAAAAGUGAAAGACGGUCUUGCUGUCACUUAUAGAUGGAUCCGCGCUGCAUUAGCUAGUUGGUAAGGUAACGGCCUACCAAGGCAACGAUGCAUAGCCGACCUGAGAGGGUGAUCGGCCACACUGGAACUGAGACACGGUCCAGACUCCUACGGGAGGCAGCAGUAGGGAAUCUUCCGCAAAGGGCGAAAGCCUGACGGAGCAACGCCGCGUGAGUGAUGAAGGUCUUCGGAUCGUAAAACUCUGUUAUUAGGGAAGAACAUAUGUGUAAGUAACUGUGCACAUCUUGACGGUACCUAAUCAGAAAGCCACGGCUAACUACGUG